rnacentral:rRNA from 1 species
CCUACGGGAGGCAGCAGUGGGGAAUAUUGCACAAUGGGCGCAAGCCUGAUGCAGCCAUGCCGCGUGUGUGAAGAAGGCCUUCGGGUUGUAAAGCACUUUCAGCGGGGAGGAAGGCGGUGAGGUUAAUAACCUCAUCGAUUGACGUUACCCGCAGAAGAAGCACCGGCUAACUCCGUGCCAGCAGCCGCGGUAAUACGGAGGGUGCAAGCGUUAAUCGGAAUUACUGGGCGUAAAGCGCACGCAGGCGGUCUGUCAAGUCGGAUGUGAAAUCCCCGGGCUCAACCUGGGAACUGCAUUCGAAACUGGCAGGCUAGAGUCUUGUAGAAGGGGGUAGAAUUCCAGGUGUAGCGGUGAAAUGCGUAGAGAUCUGGAGGAAUACCGGUGGCGAAGGCGGCCCCCUGGACAAAGACUGACGCUCAGGUGCGAAAGCGUGGGGAGCAGACAGGAUUAGAUACCCCUGUAGUC